UCUGCGGAGAGCAGCGGUCAUGGACUGGUCAGGGAGCAGCGCAGAGGCAGAGGGUCCACCAGCUCUGAGCAGAUCAUGGACACAGCGGCAAAACGCAUCGGCGGUUCAUCUGCGAUCAAAUAGGACCAGCCUCAAAGGAUGUAGCUCAGCUGGCCCUAGAGCAGGUGACCCAGGACCCACACAUCAAAGAACUGGCGGAAGUUCUCAAGCGCAUCGCACAACAGGUGGACAAUGACAAGGAGCUGCAGAGGAUGAUGGGAAUGGACAGAGUCUUCACUGCUGAGGACUUUCUCAAAGUGGCACGCCAUGUAUUUUCAGACGGCAUCACCGGGGCCCGGUUUCUGACCUUUUCUGCUUCGCCAGCAAACUGGUGCUCAAGGCCCUGUGCACGGACAUGCGGGAGCUGAUCACCAGCAUCAUGGACUGGACACUGGACUUCAUUCGAAAGCGACUGCUGCCCUGGAUCCAGGAACAGGGUGGCUGGGUGAGGCCCUUAACCGCCCCCUCCCCCACUCGGCUGGGACCUGGGGAUCUUCUUGAACCCACCACACAGCUGCUCCCUUUCUCAUUUUCUGAUAAUCGCAUGUGGUCUAUAAUGUGUCCUCACGUGUCCCUUCAACUGAGUGGAUCUGGUCACUGACCCUUCCUGCUGGUGACCUCUGACCUCCCAGUUACUCUUAACCUAACUAGUACUUUUUACCCUCCUUGGGGUCUCCAGGUCCUCUAGAAUUACUCAAAUCUGUGAUAAUCCUUAACCCGCACUGCCUGGUCCUGACUCCCACAGUGCCCUUGUCUUCUCUCCCCACCUGCUCCCUGUGAGCGGGCCUCGGGGCUGCCCUGUCUGGGUGCUGACAGGAGAUGUCUG